rnacentral:lncRNA from 1 species
AGAACAAAGAUCUACAGCAGAGGAUGCCCAGCAAGAGCUAACUACUCCACCUACCUCGCCAACAGCAGUUCAAGAAGACUCGCCACCAUCGUUUCGGAAUGAAAGGAGCGAGGAACGCGCAAGGAGUUUGGAAGACAUUUAUAAAGACACUGAAAGGUUAGAAGACCUAAUUCUUCUUUGUCUAUUUGCUGAUUGUGAACCAGUUACCUUUGAAGAAGCCAUACAAAGUA